GGAGGGUGCAAGCGUUAUCCGGAUUCACUGGGUUUAAAGGGUGCGUAGGAGGGCAGGGAAGUCAGUGGUGAAAUCUCCGGGCUUAACUCGGAAACUGCCGUUGAUACUCUCUGUCUUGAAUCCCGUGGAGGUGAGCGGAAUAUGUCAUGUAGCGGUGAAAUGCUUAGAUAUGACAUAGAACACCAAUUGCGAAGGCAGCUCGCUACACGAAGAUUGACUCUGAGGCACGAAAGCGUGGGGAUCAAACAGGAUUAGAUACCCUGGUAGUCCACGCCCUAAACGAUGGAUACUCGACAUACGCGAUACACUGUGUGUGUCUGAGCGAAAGCAUUAAGUAUCCCACCUGGGAAGUACGACCGCAAGGUUGAA
rnacentral:rRNA from 1 species